AGUUUUAAAAAUAUGCGAUUGGAGAGCGGGAAAGGCAGGAGGCGGCUCCCUCACCAUGCUUGUUAGAGCACUUCUCAGUUCCGAGUACCCAGGCUCAAAACUACCUGCAACUCCAGUUCCCAGGCAUCUGAUGAUGAGUCCUCAUGUGACAGAUGGAGAGAUCCACCCCAGCAAGUGCUCCUCUGACGGCCAGGCUUGCACAGUGGCACGCAUCAAGAUUGUCCGGAGCCGGGCUGGUGAGAUGGCUCAGUGGGUAAGAGCACCCGACUGCUCUUCCGAAGGUCCGGAGUUCAAAUCCCAGCAACCACAUGGUGACUCACAACCAUCCAUAAUGAGAUCUGACAACCUCUUCUGGAGUGUCCGAAGACAGCUACAGUGUACUUUACAUAUAAUAAAUAAAUAAAUCUUAAAAAAAAAAAAAAAAAAGAUUGUCCGGAGCCUCCAGGAAAUAGUCUCUGUAAGCUGCUGGGUCAGCAUGGUUCCCUGAUGUAGGUGUCCGUUUACCCCUGCCUGCCAUGUUGGCAACGGACUUGGAACCAUAAACCUGGGGCAAAGUUUACAGACCCGUUCUUGCCAGCAGUAAACAGGGUCGCUUAUCGCUGACUGGGACUGCUGAGCAAAGACAGGGUCUAUGACUUGACGGUGGCGCUGAUUUCCAUACACCAGGGAUCUUCCUGCCUCCACCUCCCCAGUGCUGGGAUUGCAGACAUGUGACAUUAUGACUGGCCUUUAUAUGGAUGCUGAGGAUCCAUACUCAAGCCAUGGUACACUUCACGGCACACAUUACCAACUGUGUCAUCUCUUCAGCCCAAUGAAUAACGUCUUUCAGAACCAUCAGUAUCCAACUCCUUUGGAAACAGAGCUAAACAUCUGAAAUGGAAGCCGUGUGGCUACUGAGGAUGGAUGCUGGUGAGGUUGUACAGUUUCUCAUAUACAUACUGAGAAUGAAAAGAGACACCAGUGUCCACCAUGCCUGCUCCUUGCUUAUCCAGCUAUACUAAAUGUAUUAGUAAUUAUGUGAGGGUCGGUUUCUUGUUUUUGAGACAAGGUCUCCAAUCUGCCCUUGAACUCCUGAUCUUCCUGCCUCUGCUUCUCAAGUGCUGGGGUUACAGAUAUGUGCCAUUAUGUCCACAUUAUAUUGGUAACUGUAACUACCAGGCAGUGUGUGAUAGUUACUAUUCUCUACUUGAGGAUGUAGAACUACUGAAGGGCGAAGCUUCUGGGCAUAUUGAUGAAAGAUUCUGUUUAGAUUAGGUUGAAGGGGGAAUACUUAUUCUAACUGUGGGUGGUGCCAGUCUAUGCACUGGGCCCUGGAUUACAUAAGAAGGAGAAAAUCAGCUGAACACAAUUAUUCACAGAGUACCCUGGCUGUGGAUACAAUAUGACCACACUGGAUACAAUAUGACCACACAGGAUACAAUAUGACCACACUGGAUACAACAUGACCACACUGGAUACAAUAUGGCCACACUGGAUACAAUAUGGCCACACUGGAUACAAUAUGACCACACUGGAUACAAUGUGGCCACACAGGAUACAAUGUGACCACACUGGAUACAAUGUGACCACACUGGAUACAAUAUGACCACACUGGAUACAAUAUGACCACACUGGAUACAAUAUGUGGAUACAAUCUGAUCAGUCUCCUGCUCUUGCCUCCCUGGACUGUUUGCCCUCACACUAUGAGCCCAAAUAAGCCCUUUCUCCUCUAAGUUGCUUCUCACUGUCAAUUUGUUCACAGCAGCCAGAGCAGUUUCUGAGCCAACUUCAGGAAGUCCUCAGCCAACUGGCAGUUUUCAUCUGCUACAGUUAAACCCAUGACAAAGGGA